rnacentral:tRNA from 1 species
GUGAAUUUAGUUUAAAGAAAAAACGUCUGCUUUGCAUGUAUAAGAUAAAGGUUUAAAUCCUCUAAUUCACA